GAAUCACUACUACUGUCGUCGACAUCCACAUCAGAAUCCCUUGGUAACACAAGUCUAUCAAGAAUGGUUUGAUCAAGCGCCGUUUCUUGAACCCUUCCAGCAAAACAACACCUGGAAAGCACAAGCAUAAGCAUGUAGUUCAACAAAGAGGUUGGGCCAUAAAUGUUAUUGAAGAUAUUGAGCAGACAGCUAGAUUUCCAUUCAGAAACAUCAUAUUUUUGCAUAAAGUCAACCUGAAGACUGAAUGACUAGCUAACAAAACUUUGGUUUGUGUGACGCUGCAACUCUUAAUUAACAAAAGAAUGUACAAUGCUAUGAAUCCAUAAAUUUUAUCCAAAUCCGUCGCUUCCAUCGUGCAGAUUCCGAGUAUCAACAGCAGACUGCUUUGCAUGGGACCACUCGCCAGCAGCAGGUCGGCAAGAUAGUGUCCGAUUCACCACCAUCGGCGGUUAACUAAUUAGACAUUUCCAUUCAGCUUGUUGUCCCGGGGAACAAAUAUUUUUAAUAUCUCAAUUACUAAUAUUACAAGGACUUGAUAGUACAGAGAGAGAUGGAUGAGCAACGCAGCAGUUGUUAGAGCAGUACCGAGGGCCCGCAGCAUGCCCAAUUCAGCAAUGGCUUUCUUCGGAUUUUCUUUUCUCUUCUUCUUUAUAUUUUUCCCUCGGUUUAGUUUGUUUAUUUCUUUGAUUUAUUUCUUUAGUUUUUCUACUUUUCUUUUUUCCAACACAUGUCUAAUUUUUUCAUACGCAUUGUACAUUUUCUGUAUACAACAUAAAUACUUUUUAUACACGUUUAACAUUUUUUAAACACACAAUUAACAUUUUCUCAAACAUAUGCUUUUAUGUCAAAAUUUUCAAACGUUGUACAUCUUUCAUAUACAUCUAAAAAGAAUUAUAUGCAUUUAACAUGUUUUCUAACACAUGUUUUGAACAAUUUUCAAAUACAUGUUAUCUUUCGUAUACAUCUAAUUUUUUUAUGCAUUUAACAUGUUUUGCGAUACAUAUUUUGACAUUGUUCAAAUACGUGUUAUAAAAUGAACAUUGUCUAAUUUUUAAAAAAAUUCACAAUUUUCUUUAAACGUGUGAAUAUUUUCUAAUUGUAUAUGCAUUUCUGGAAUACUACUAAUUUUUUUUUGAAUUCACAAACAUUUAUUUACAGUGUAUAAUUUUUUCUAAAACUAACACGUACAUUUUUAAGAAANNNNNNNNNNNNNNNNNNNNNNNNNNNNNNNNNNNNNNNNNNNNNNNNNNNNNNNNNNNNNNNNNNNNNNNNNNNNNNNNNNNNNNNNNNNNNNNNNNNNNNNNNNNNNNNNNNNNNNNNNNNNNNNNNNNNNNNNNNNNNNNNNNNNNNNNNNNNNNNNNNNNNNNNNNNNNNNNNNNNNNNNNNNNNNNNNNNNNNNNNNNNNNNNNNNNNNNNNNNNNNNNNNNNNNNNNNNNNNNNNNNNNNNNNNNNNNNNNNNNNNNNNNNNNNNNNNNNNNNNNNNNNNNNNNNNNNNNNNNNNNNNNNNNNNNNNNNNNNNNNNNNNNNNUCUCUCUCUGGUAGAUCGGAUUGAUCUGCCACCAUUUUGCUGCACAACGUUACUCCUAAUUUUCCUAAUUUAUAUUUACCCACUGAUGCCUAAUCUUAGCAUCCUGGAUGUCUGCAUGUAUCCUCUUUUUUUUUCUGAUCCUGUACGCUUUUGUGGAGAUGCCAAGCUAAUUUAUUCACUUCGUCUCCACUAAUGAUGUUGUUUCAAUCUAUCUUUAGAUGAUACAGAUGAAGGCAGGAUCAACAACUGGUCUCGUGGUAUGUGCUUCCAUCAGCAUACUUAGUUUUUCUUUAGAUUAUUAUCCUGCUAUAGUGGAAAGAUGAACCUUUGGUAUGCACAUUCAAUUGAUCCUUCCACAUCACAACCGGCUUCGGCGCUUCCUCUCACCGGAGGACCAAGAAGAGGGGCGCGCUCCGAUGCAUUUCAGGUACGGAUUUUAUUGAACUAAACCAACAACAAAGUAGACUAUCAUAUGUGCGUCUAUGGGUUAUGAAAGUUUGUUUCGUGAACAGUCUUCGGUGUUGUGCUACCAAAAUCUUGGGAUGUGCUUAUGCUCGCUUCUUCUAUAACAUUUCUUUAGUUGAACGAGUUGCACAUCAAUCUAUAGAAAAAACUUCAGUUGUCAAUUAUAACACUCUGUUUUUUGGACUAUUUAAUAAAUUAAUACUACCUCAGUACCAGUAUCCUAAAAAACAUCUUAUAUUUUGAUACGGAUGUAGUAGUUUUCUUAAUUGCCAAAAUAUCCUCCUCAUAUAUAGAGCUACGAAAUCCUGCAGCAAUCGUGCGGGGCAUCAUCUAGUUCCUAUAAAUGCACAUAUGCACACCCUACUUCUAUGAGCAUCUUCGAGAGACUAAGCCGAUACAUCAACUUGAGAUUAAAGAAGUCGCCACAGAUGCCUUCGUAGUCGAUGGGAAUAUCUCAUCCCACCGAACACAGCUGUCAUCGAUGCCACCAUUGACCCUCUCAAAGACCUUUCGAUGACCGCUUCCGCCGUGGAACCGUAGGAAGUCAUUGCAAUAUAGUUGCGGUCACCAUCACCCGACCGAUCGGAUCUGUAUCACCUCCACCAAGCCGUGGUCCUCAGCCACCCGAGCCAGAACACCGCCAUGGACGACACAACCACUUGUCGUCGAGAGUAGCCAACACGCACUCCGUCAACAUCCGGCUACCACCCAAGCAACCAACAAGCAUCCGUCCAUCAGAUCUGGAGGCAAAGCCCGGCCAGCCCGAACACAAGCCAGGCGCCUGAGGCCUAGCACCACCAUACACGGCCAGGUGCAGGACAGCACACACAACCGCAACUAGCUUCCUAGCACCCUAACACUAUGAUCCGCCGCGGCCGUGGCCAGUCACACACUUAUGGGCGCCGCCUCCUCGCUCAUGAAGGACGUAGCCAAGGUGUACCCUCCACUCCCUUCACCUUUGACGGAAGGGUGCCACCGCUGACGACACGGCGGCGACGAGAUGAGAUCUGAUGCUAGUUUUGUUGGCUAGGAGUUGGUCGCCUCCGGAGAUGCCUGAGCCGUCGAGCAUGACUUACUUGAGGGUAAAAAAGCCAGUCUUUUCUCAAUAUUUCUUUUUCCUGUUUGUGUUUUCAUUUUUUCAUUCCCCCUUUUUCAUAUCCGCGCUUUUCAGUGUUUGUUAAAACUUUCAAAAAAUAUUCACUUUUUAAAAUUUUGUUCAAAAUACAAAUAUUCACAUUUUACAAAAUUGUACAGAAAGUUCAAAAAACCAUGUCUUUAAAAAUGCUCAGAAUAUCAAACAUGAAACAUUUUUAAAAAGAGCAAACAAAAUUAUGAACACGAACAUUUUGUGAAUUUUCCAAACAUUUUUGAAAACCACUAACAAAUUUGGAAUUAAAAAAAUCAGAAACACAUGAAUAAAAAAGUAAAACAACUUUUUAAAUUUCCCUGAUUUUUAAAUUCCAAAUAUUUUGUGAUAGCUUGAACAUUAUUUGAAACUCCCCAAAUUUUUUUGAAUUCGAGCAAAAAAUUUAGAGAAUGAUUUUUUUGAAUUUUUGAAUAAAUUUGAGAAAAAGGGACAUCUUUUAAAUCGAGAAACCUUUUUCAUAUUGACGAGUUCUAGGGCUGGCCCAAGAGGCGUCCAGCAAGAGCGCUGUUCUCACCUAGUUGGGCCAAAGCCUAAGCGUUUUUUCUCUUUCUAUUUUAUUUUCUUCUUUUAUCUCUAAUUCAUUUUUCUCCUUUUGAACUUUAUUAUUAUUUUCGAAGUUAGUUAAAAAAUGGAAAUAUUGUUUGGAAUAGCAAAAUAAUAUUUUAAAAUAACUAUUAGAAACUAUGAUUUUAAUUUUUUUUCAAAUAUUUAUUAAGUGAUUUUAAAAAAUGAUUUACUAUUUUCAAUUUAUCUGUUUGUAUUUAUUAAAUUUAGAAUAACAGUUUUAAGUACCUAUUUAAAUUACGAUUUUAUAUAUUUUUUCCUUCAAACCUAGCAUGGAUUUCUACCAUGAGAUGUCCACCUGCUUGCAUAAGUUAGGGUCAUUUGAAAGAUGUCCAAAUAUAGACCAUGUUCAACAGACAGUGUUUGGGUAGUCCAGAAGGCUCCGUCUGAGAGCAUGUUGUUUAUCAACAUGCUUGAAAUGGCCCUAAUUUUCUAAUAUAGCCUUGUAUGACCAAAUCAAGGCGUAAUAUCAAGUAAGUUGGGUUUCGAUAAGUUUUGCAUUUUCUGGAGUUUUCUUAUGUCCUAACCAUAUUUUGAAAUUUGUAAAUAAUUAUGCCAUUUCAAAUGUUGUAUGAAAAUCAUACAAACAUGCCACUUUUCCAAAAUUGUUGAGAAGUUCCAAACAAUUGAUCAAAAUUUUGAACAAAACUUGCAAUCCACAUACUUUCAAAAAAAUGAUAAAUUUGUUUUUGAAACACAAACAUUUCUUAAAUUUGUGAACAAAUAAUUCUAAAACCGGAACAUUUUAUGAAAUUCCAGAUUUUUUUUAAUUGUAUAGAAUAUUUGAAAACAUGAACAUUUUCCUCUAUUGCCAACAUUUUUUUCAAAUUUUUGAAUGGUUUUCAAACGGAAUAAUAAAGUUUCAAAAGGAGAAAACUGAAUUAAUGACAAAAGAAAAAAGAAAAAAUACUUAGUUUAUUGUGCGUGCCCAAGCGUUCAUGGAUAUGAAAAAGUUGUUCACCGAUAAGAAAAUCUCAGAUUUAAAAAAAAUCACUAAAAAACUUGCAAAAAAGUUUGAGAAAUUAAAAAGUAUUCACAAAUUUAACAAAAAGUACAUGAAUUUAUUUUUUUUAGUUUUUUUAAAGUUCACGCUUUGGAAAAAACAUAAAAAGAAAAAAUAAAUAGAAAAAGGAAGACGAAAAAAACCAGAAUAAAAUAAAAUAAAACCCGAUUUUAAAAAUAAAAACAAAAAAUCCCGAAAAAGCAGUGGAAAACGGGCUUUAAUUAUGGCACCGUCAGUGACUUAUGCCAAUUAUGUUCUUCCUAUUUCUUUUAAUUAUGUGCGCGCUAGUUGGUCGGAUGUUACUAUUUCUUUAAUUGGGCCUGCCGUAAUGGGCUGGUGAUUCGGACGGUUAAGAGUCUAAGCUAAUGGCACCAUCAGUAAUCGAUGCUCCCCUCAAAAAUAAAAUAAAAUCAGUAAUCGAUGCCAUCAGUUCCCGGGUGUGUCUUGAAAGAAAAACAGUUCCUGGGUGUGGCAGAGCUACCCAUUUCCCCUAGUAUGGUAGAUAGAGUUGAGCGGAGUAUUGAGGGAAGUGUUCGAGCUAGUCUUUGAACCUGUCCACUAUAUGUGUUUAAUCCUUAUUGUACUACUCCCUCCGUCUCAAAAUAAGUGUCUUAACUUUGUACUACCUCUCUCUCAGUUUACAGGGCGUGCGCGUACCCCUAGGUCGUCAAUUUGAUCAAUCUAAUACAAGUCAUAUAUUACAAAAAGUAUACCAAUAUAAACUUUAGAUGUUCUAUUUUCAAAAGAUAUAAUUUUUAUGUUAUAUAAUCUAUAGUAAGGUGAUCAAAUUGGCAACCUAGGCAUACGCGUAGGACUUGUAUUAGAUUGGUAGUGAAAAGUUGUAUUAAGCUUGAGACACUUAUUUUAGGACAAAAGAAGUACAUCUUAAAUGAUUUAUGUAUAUAUACCGCAAGAAUAGUACUACUAGCCAACUAGCUACUAGUCUAGAUUGUGAGAAGUGCAUGCAUGUGUAGUAGAUAGAGAAAAAAAGUACCUGCCGAGGCAUGAUGGCUAAUAUUUCAGUGAAGGCCUAUUAAAGACAAGAAAGCCCAGGGAUCAAUCUGACCAAUCGGUCUGCAACUCCAGAUGAAUUACUUUUACUUGGCUAGCUAGUCAGCACCUGGCAGUUAAUUAUGGGGGGAGCACAGGGAAAAGUUAUGUUUGUGCGCAUCAACAAAACAUUGUCAACUGAAACUAAACUACUAAAUAAGGACAGUGCGAGCAAUUGUGCAUAUAGAGUCGGGUUUUUUCUCUUGCUCAAACAAAGGCAUGUGAAUAUAUAUAUAUUCUACCACAACAGUGGUACUACUAGUCUAGUUCGUGUGAGAAUAGAAUGCAUGUGUAGCUAGGAAGAAAAAUACCUGUCGAGGCAUGAUGACUGAGUAGUAUCAAGAAAUAGCAUGCAUGUGUAUGUACGCAGAUAAAUACCUGUCGAGGCAUGAUGACUAGUAUUUCAAUGGACGCCCGGCAGAGACACGAAGCUCCACAAAUCUAACCCAUCGAUCGAUCUGCACCUCCAGAUGAAUCAAUUUGCUAGCAGCUAUAUAUAGAUCACCUACAAGAAGAGAGUAGGAAUCCGUUAUCUCAGUCAAGGCAUAAUAUAUAUACCGCGACCAAUUAACAUGCGAUAGAUAAAUUGCAGGAUAAUUAUGUUUUGGUAGCAUAUUUUUUUUAGAGAAAAAUGUUUUGCUAGCAUAUGCAACUAGUAAUUAUCAGAAAAGCGCAGGAAUUACCUGUGUUUGUGCAUAGUAUUACCACGAGCAAUUACAUGAUAUAUAUAAAUAGCAGAAGAACUAAUCAUACCGUAUAGUAGUAGUAGCCUGCACUGCAGUAUCUGAAUUUGCCGGCACACAAAUCUUCCUUGCGCCAAAAGAAAAAUGUUGAUGCCAGGUUAUACCAAGGAGGAGAGGAGCAAGGAAUGAAUGGAC
rnacentral:lncRNA from 1 species